GAUGAACGCUGGCGGCGUGCCUAAUACAUGCAAGUCGAGCGAACAGACGAGGAGCUUGCUCCUCUGACGUUAGCGGCGGACGGGUGAGUAACACGUGGAUAACCUACCUAUAAGACUGGGAUAACUUCGGGAAACCGGAGCUAAUACCGGAUAAUAUAUUGAACCGCAUGGUUCAAUAGUGAAAGACGGUUUUGCUGUCACUUAUAGAUGGAUCCGCGCCGCAUUAGCUAGUUGGUAAGGUAACGGCUUACCAAGGCGACGAUGCGUAGCCGACCUGAGAGGGUGAUCGGCCACACUGGAACUGAGACACGGCCCAGACUCCUACGGGAGGCAGCAGUAGGGAAUCUUCCGCAAUGGGCGAAAGCCUGACGGAGCAACGCCGCGUGAGUGAUGAAGGUCUUCGGAUCGCAAAACUCUGUUAUUAGGGAAGAACAAAUGUGUAAGUAACUAUGCACGUCUUGACGGUACCUAAUCAGAAAGCCACGGCUAACUACGUG
rnacentral:rRNA from 1 species